rnacentral:rRNA from 1 species
ACCAAGCUGGGCUAUCAGGUUCUUCCUGAGUUUGUGGUGGUUCAGCAUCAAAGGGAUGUGCAGGUGCUUUAUGCCCUAAAGAGCUUCUUCAAAUGCGGAGUGGUAAGGAAGAACAACGGAGAUAGAUGGUGCUACAGAGUUAGAAAGCUGGAGUGCCUUAAGGCUAUAUGUGAGUUCUUUGUUAGGCAUCCGUUAAAAACCAAGAAAAAUGUGGAUAGGAUCAAGUUCUGUAGGGUCGUGGGCUACAUGCUUGAGGGAAGGCACCUGAGCUUGGAAGGUCUUUUGGAGAUCGCGGAGAUAGCCCUUCGAAUGAACACACAGCAAAGGGAUGCCCUCCUUCGCAUAAAAAGGGACCUGGAGGCAAAGGUAAGAUACAGUCCACCCCUUGGCGAAAGCCGAGGAGAAAGGUGAGCGAAAUUCCUUGUCGGGUAAGCGUGGACUUGCCCGUGUCCGGCUCAUAUCGGGGGAGCCCUCCUACCCAAGAGGGUGUGGGGUAAUCCCGAGGGAAGCCCAUCUCUCGUGAGGGAGAUGGAGCCCCGUAACGACUGACCCGAAAGGGGAGGCACGCAAAAAGCGUGCAACACGCCGGCCACCACCCGUAGCCAAUGGCUACGCAGAAAGGACUAUGGAGGAAGGCAUGUUAGACCCUUGGUAUAUAACAGGCUUGGUAGAGGGUGAAGGUUGCUUUUCUGUUAGCUUUAAUCUGAGGGACAGCCUGAAGGUGGGUAUAGAAACGAGGGCUUCCUUUUCAGUUUCCCUAAACAAGAGGGACUUAGAGCUUCUGAAAAAGCUCCACCAAUACUUUGGCUGUGGAGGAAUAAGGUUUUCAAAGGCAGACAACACCUACAAAUACGAGGUUAGGGAGCUGAGAAGCCUCACAGAAAGGGUGAUCCCUCACUUUGAGAAAUAUCCCCUUCAGGGCUCAAAGGCAAGAGAUUUCGAAGCCUUCAAAGAGGUCUGCACAAUGAUGAAGGCAAACCUUCACCUAUCACCCAAGCAUAUGCCAAAGAUCAUAGAGCUUGCCUACAGUAUGAACCCAUCGGGCAAGCGUAAAUACUCAAAGGACUUCCUCCUACAGGUCCUUGGUGGUGAGAAGGUAUAGUCUACCCCUUGCCGAAAGGCAAGACAGGGUGAAGUUCCGACCUGCAUGAAUGGCCCAACGAGUGCCGCACUGUCUCGAGGAGAGUCCCGGCGAAAUUGUGAUGCCGGUCAAGACGCCGGCUACCCGCGGCAGGACGGAAAGACCCCGUGAAGCUUCACUGUAGCCUGGUACUGAGUCUUAGCCUGUCCUGCGCAGGAUAGGUGGGAGCCUGUGAAGUCCCUCCUCCGGGAGGGAUGGAGGCGCCGGUGAGAUACCACCCUGGACAGGCUGAGACCCUAACCCAGCGGAGUUAUCCUCCGCGGGGACCGUGCCAGGUGGGCAGUUUAGCUGGGGCGGCUGCCUCCUAAAAGGUAACGGAGGCGUCCAAAGGUACCCUCAGGCGGGUCGGAAAUCCGCCGUAGAGUACAAGGGCAGAAGGGUGCCUGACUGUGAGGCCGACAGGCCGAGCAGACGCGAAAGCGGGGCCUAGUGACCCACCGGUUCCACGGGGAAGGGCCGGUGAUCAGCGGAUAAAAGCUACUCCGGGGAUAACAGGCUAAUCUCCCCCGAGAGCCCACAUCGACGGGGAGGUUUGGUACCUCGAUGUCGGCUCCCCCCAUCCUGGGGCUGAAGCAGGUCCCAAGGGUUGGGCUGUUCGCCCAUUAAAGCGGUACGCGAGCUGGGUUCAGAACGUCGUGAGACAGUUCGGUCCCUAUCCGUCGUGGGCGUAGGAAAUUUGAGAGGAGCUGUCCUUAGUACGAGAGGACCGGGAUGGACGCACCGCUGGUGUACCAGUUGUUCUGCCAAGAGCAUCGCUGGGUAGCUAUGUGCGGAAGGGAUAAGUGCUGAAAGCAUCUAAGCAUGAAGCCCCCCUCAAGAUGAGAUUUCCCAUAGCGCAAGCUAGUAAGAUCCCUGAAAGAUGAUCAGGUAGAUAGGUCAGAGGUGG